UAAAUCUAAAUGUUCCGCCUAAAUGUUAAAUAUAAAUGUUGACUUUAAAUGUUUGGGAAAUAUGCUAAUGAGGCCACGCCCCUCACCGAAUAGAGCGGUCCUUGUUCAGACGAAAGUUGAACCUUAAUCAUGGCAAACUCUUUGAGACCUGAGGAUAUUGAAAGGGCCGUUGUUUCAGGAGUGCGAGCUGCAUUGCAAGGUGUCCUGGCACCUACACCUGCUGCUGCAAAUCUGGUUAACACAUCAUCACCAUCCACAAGUUCUGCCGCUUAGUUCACACAGACCGGUCAACACUCUGCCGCCACCCAUAGCAUCCACAAGUUCAACCACAUCUGCAGGGGCUGGCACAUCCCAGAGAUUGGUUGGAACAACCCUAAUUUCCAAAGAGGACAUUGAAAGAUUAAUAUUCUUGGGGACAACACUCUCAGAAACGGCAUCAAUCUUGGAAAUAUCAAGACCAACGUUGUACAAGCUUAUGAGAGAGUAUGGCAUAAAACACCAAAAAUUCAGUGACAUUUCCGAUCAGGAACUGGAUGAAGUAAUUCGUGCAAUAAAAUCAAAUCACCCUCAUGUUGGAGAGGUUAUGCUCAAUGGACAUUUGCGUGCCAGGAACAUCAUAGUUCAAAGACAUCGUCUCAGAGACUCAGUGCAAAGGGUUGAUUUUGCUGGAGCACAGUCUAGGAGAACAUCAGCAGUGCAAAGAAGAACAUACUCUGUCCCCUUUCCAAACUAUAUAUGGCACAUUGACGGCAACCAUAAGCUCAUAAGAUGGAAAUUAGUCAUUCAUACCGCAAUUGAUGGGUACAGCAGAUUUUUGACUUUUCUGCAUUGUUCUAACAACAAUCGUGCUUCAACUGUCCUGGAUCUAUUUAGGAAAGGUGUGAACAAGUUUGGAUGGCCUAUGCACAUAAGAACUGAUCAUGGAGGGGAAAA